rnacentral:lncRNA from 1 species
UGUGUGUGAGAGAGAGAGGUCAAGAACUGUGUGCAUUAUAUUUUGUGUAGAAGGGAAAAAGGAGCAAAUCAACUUUGUCAAACCUAGCUGAUUACCUCGCUCAUCUAAAGCUCACCAGCUUUUGGUUUCCUUUAAAGGAAGAAAGCGGUCUGCCUUGCGGAAGGCGGAAAGCAAGCAAUAAUAGAGGGGCGUGCACGUGUGAUGCGCAUUUUUUUUUAUUGCACUCGUUCGUGCUAUUCACCGAAGGCAGGCCGCAUCUUGUGCUUUCCCUACAGUGACGGUGCCGGACACGGAGCGUGCUAAACCAAAUCAUUGGCCGAAUAUGAUGAAACUAGGAGCUCUGAUUUUAUUUUCAGGAGGUAUUUAAUUUAUGAUCAGAAUUAGAAUCAGAGUUGAAAUCUGAAAAUGUGUUUCAUUGGGGAGAG